rnacentral:sRNA from 1 species
AAAUAUUACAACAACAAAAAAAGAAAAAAAUAAGUGAAAUAUAUUGCAUUUCGUGGUUGGGUUUGCCCAUUGGCCAACAGCCAAGUGUCCAUAAAUAUUUCCAUUUUGGUUGCAAUAAGGAACUGCUGCUGCUACUACCACCACGGCUAUUGUGCCACAAAUUAAUUGUGAUUUGCAUGCUGCCUGCCCUGCCACAGAGCAAAACAGUGCAGUGCAAUAAUUAUGCCGCAUGUGGCAUGAAUAUGAGCUGAUAUCUGUGAUAGAUUUAUGAGUGCUAAACCAAAAGAGUGUUUCUUUUCUGUGUUCUGUGCCAUCAAGAGAAGAAAAACAAAUUGCAACAACACCAAAAGCAACCAAUAAAUAAAAUUACAGAACAAAAUCCAGGUGUAAGUGGCGAAUGUAAACGGAUUUACUUAAUUACGGUGCAGUGAAAUUUAUGAGCCAUAAAAGUUAAUAUUUCUUUCAAGUGCUCUGCCUGCCUGUCUUGGCAAAAAAAAUAUGAAGUUUCAAUAGAAAAGAAACGGUCAUUUAAGGUUUUAUCGUUAAAAUUUUUUUAAUUAAAAAAAUAAGAAAAUAUUAAAAUAGAAAUAUUUUUAAUGGUGAUUGCAGAUGAUAUAUUUAAAUGCUAAAAUAUAUAAAAAAAAUUGUGUAACAUUUAAUAAUAAAAAAUUCUUGUGAAAAUCAACAUCAGGCCGCUUAAUCAACGAAUCGUUCUGAUCGAGGUACGUUAGGCCAACUUUUGAUGCUACAAAAUAUAACUUGAUUCGUGUUCUGCAUCUCUAAUUCGAAAUAAAGGUAAGAAUAAAAUACAUU